rnacentral:lncRNA from 1 species
ACACUUACUCAGCUGUGUUGAUUCUAACACACCAUUCUCCCUCUCCGAGCUGCUUUCCCUCAUUUGUUCUUGCACUGUGGCUUCCCACCAGCUGUGAAAAUCCUGUCAGCACCAGCACCCGCUCUGUAUGCCAGCGAGUGGAGAAAACUGCAGGUUCCUUCUAUGGCACCAGCCUCUAUCUCUUGCCAGAUCCUUCGGCUUCAACAGCAGCCCAGGGGCAUCCAACCACCAGGGAAACAGACAUAUCCUCCAGAAAGCCUUUCUGCCGGAGAAGCACGGUCACCACCAGAGGGAGUGCAUCUGCUCUUCUGGCCUCAGAGUGAACUUGAUCACUCUGUGGCUCUUCUGAUGAGAUGCUAUAGGGAUAAGCGGUACUGAAAUGCUCUCCCUCACCAGGGACUGUCAGUUGGAGGAGUCUAGUUCCCAGUGCGAGGGCAAGCCUGGGAACAGCUCAAAGCAGGUCCCAUUUCCCACAGUGCCUCAUCUACUGCAUCUUAGACAAGGAAACCAAGAAGACCCUCUCCGUGGAAGAUCCAAAGGGACACCGGGGGACGCAUCUUCAGAUUGUGCAUGAGUAUGCGGGCAGAGGGAAGGACCCUGCAGGCUGGACCUUAUCGUGUAGAACCCCUCCCUGCAGCUCCAGAGCGCCCCCUGGUGCCUUCUGGGCCACUGACUUCCCCCAGUCUCACUGGAAUACGCCUUGUUUAUUUUACAGCCCUCUGCUGUCUGGCAUUUCCCCCUGCUAUUUACACACCAGGGCCCUGUAAGGACACAUGGUUGGUUUUUAGAAGCUUCCUCCUCAAAGCUUCAAAGGAAAACCUCAAUUUUGGCAUUUCCUAGAAAAAACGAUUUAAUGUUUCUUCUUGAGGCUCAGGCUGUUGGAACAAAACCAAAAGCUAGGGUCCCCGCAGCACUUGGCACCGCGCCUGUGCUCCUGGGAGCUAGAGGUGCCACUUGGUCCUUGCAGCACAGAGAAGGGAUGUUACUGCCCCCAUUUCACAGAUGUGAAACUGAGGGUGCCUGGGGGUGGGGGUGGAGUGGGGCAGCUGCUGGCAGAUCCAGGGAACACAAGCAGAGAGUGAAGUUGGGUCUGUCCCCAGAAGCUCUGCCUCCUGAGUCCCAGUCCCCAGCAGCAGGCUUGCUUUCUACUGUCCAAAUCUCCUACGAUGUGACAGUCACAGUUUUCUGGAGUACAGCACUCUUGUGAUGCUCAGAUUUUCUUUGAUUCUCUGCAUAAAUUUACUAUGAAAUCUUGUGAUUUAAGAGGCUACUCUCUCCUUACUGUUUUUUUCUCUCUUUUUUUUUUUAAAGAACUCUGUGUUGGCAGAGUGCUUCCUGGUUUUGUUUCUGAUUUUUGCAGUGCUAGGGUUUAAUCUGGGCAUUUUGAAUUCUAGAAAAGAUCUCAUCCACAGAGCCACAGCCCAACCUUAGAAAAGUUCGUAUUUCAUAAAUGAAGGUCUCCUAGCAGAGUAUAGGUAUUCCUCAGAUAACAUCAUCAGGAAUGUCCAGAAUGUUGCUCCUGCCUACAGUGAAUACAAACAAUUGUUUGUUCAAUCUAGUUUGGGGCUAACAAGAAUAUAAUUAAGGCACUUUCAGCUGGUCUGCCUCUCUGGGGAACAUCCGGGUUCUCUAUGUUCCUUUGGUAAGCUAUUAGUCAGGAUGGGAUGGCCACUAUAUACUGCCCCAAGUUUCUAGAUCAAAUCUAUAAGUCCUGACAGGCCCAGCCCUGCUUCUCUUUAGGACACACAAAGUUUUGCCAAAUACACAGACUACUAGAUAUACAUAUAGUUCCCUCUGGGGUCAUCUGCUCCCCAAGAGACUUGUUAAAGUGGGACACUAUUCUUGAGCUAAAUUAUCAAUCAAAAGUAUUCUUCUUUCUGGUAUGGCUGCUUUCCACAGAUAAUGAAAUCCCAUCAACUUCCUCUAAAGAAAACGUGACCUACAUAAAAAUGAAUAGCAAUUAAUUCUCAGCUGCAAUCUUCAGAGGCUGGAGCUGAGCUAGAGCCCAGAGUCCUAGGAGCCCACUCCAUCUUGAUUGGGAGGCUGUAGCAGGUAAAGGGACCUUGAGGGACAGGCCCCAAGUAUGAAAUGAUAGCACGAAGGGAAAGGGGUCAGAGCCAAAGAAGAACAGGCAGAAUCCAGCACCCAGAGCGCCAGAAUAUCAGUUCCAGGCCAGGCCUGCUACCAAGAACCCAGAAGAACUCUUUAGAUCAAUCACAGAAGAAUGAUUUUUGUAGAUGGUGCUUUCUUACCAGGGUGCUAGAGGUAGAAUGUAUCACAGCCAUGUCAUCACCUUCAGAGAUGGAUGUAGUCCAUCAGCAUGCCCAACGGCUACGUGGUCUCUGCCACCUAAACUUGCUCUUUGGGUUACAUUCCUCACUCGAAAGUGAGAUGCUUCGGUGGUAACUGUCCCAAGAGGGUCUCCAUGAGAAUACAUUCUUUCCAUGAAAGAACAGGUUAGGAGUGGGGGUGCACUUAGGGGAGGGGUGAAACAGGAUCUCAAGUCCAGCUUAGGCAACAUGGCAAGAUGCUCUCUCAAAAACACAGCAGAGACAAAUGAGGGAACUAGGCAACAACCGACCGAAGAUGCAGGGUCCAGACUCUGGCUUGAUCUUGACUGAAUUCCUUAAGACUCUGAACCUGUCUGCAUCUCCCUUCUCCCAACAGUAAAACCAGAAGCCAGUUAUGAUGAUAGUGCACACACCUGAAGAGCGAGGGCAGGCUGUGUAUCUACUUGCUCCUGACACAAGGCAAGCCCAGAGAAGUUCUGACUAUGCUAAAGGAUAACCAGGGUAGACCUGGGGUUCUCAUUCUAGAGUAUCUGCCUAAAGUGAAAACCUGAGUGGUUGUUCUAGAAAAUCAACCCAAUGUUCUUGGUGGAGAAUCAUCCACCUACUGUAACCCACCCAGAAGGCAGUCACUACUCAGCCACCAGCUCUGGACACAUGGAGAUGUCGAGGUUGCGAAUUGCAUGGGCUCAUGUGUAAGACAGUCUGGAGGAGGCAAGAUUCUGGGUGUGGAAAACAGACCUAGGGGCCAGUGGGUGGGAAUGGGACGCCCAUGAGAGAGGCUUUGUGAGGCAGAAGACCUGUUCUGUCUCGACUGAGAUGAAGUACGUGACUCUGUGCAUUUAUCAAGACUUGGGGAUUGAAUAAAAGAGAAACAUGUGUUA